CAGAGACAAUACAUAUGUAACGUUGACAACGACAUAAAUAAGCAAUACAGUGGCGUUAUGUCGUUUGAAAAGGUAUUCUCAGAUAUAAGAUCUGCAGCGAAGGAAAUGAUACUUCGGAUUCAGGAACCAACUGAUAAGCGUUCGCUUGAGGAAAAAACAGCGAUCUUUCAGUCAUCCUUGAGACAAGCGGAAAAGAUGUUCAAACAUCAGGAUUAUCAUUUCCGACGUUUGUCGGAAAGGAGCUGUUUUCUGGAAGCUCUAAAUGCUAGCCAGGAAUUUUUGGUUCGACUGCAUCCAAAGACCAAGGCUUGUUGAGGCACUCUCGAUUCCGUUUUCUGAGUACAACCACAACUUGCGAUCUUUAGGGGAAGAUUACGCUAGGCGGACACCGCAUACACUACACAACGGCAAUAUUAUGCCUUUCAUAGCAAUUUGGACGACUACUAGAAAGAAAUUUUGAUAUUUAUCAAUAUGGAAAACGCGUUCAUAAGAUGCACAUUUUCUUCCGUUAAUUCAAGGAUGCAUGUGCGAUAAUAUUGGCGUCUUCUUUAUUCUAUUCCUUUUCUAUCAACAGCAAAUAAUGGCUAUAUAUGUGGCACUUGUUUCAGGAAAAAAAAAUUCAAAUGUAUGAAGAGCAAAUGAAGGAAUGUGAAAUGUUAAAAUCUCAAAUAUCCACAGCCUAUUCUAGCACAUUGAACGAAACUGUCGAGGUACUGAGACGAGAGUCUGCUUGGACCUUAGGCGUUAGAAGUGAACCCAGUCACCAACUUGAGCUGUUGAUUGAAAAAGAAGCGCUAUUGGAACAAGAAUAUGAUGAGACUCAAAAAGAUCUUAAUAACCAUGAAAUGCUGUUGAGCGGUCAUGAGGUGAAUAUG